CUCCUACGGNAGNCAGCAGUGGGGAAUAUUGGACAAUGGGCGNAAGCCUGAUCCAGCCAUACCGCGUGUGUGAAGAAGGCCUUAGGGUUGUAAAGCNCUUUCAGNAGGGAGGAA
rnacentral:rRNA from 1 species